rnacentral:rRNA from 1 species
UACAGAGGGUGCAAGCGUUAAUCGGAAUUACUGGGCGUAAAGCGUGCGUAGACGGUUAUGUAAGUCAGAUGCGAAAGCCCCGGGCUUAACCUGGGAAUGGCAUUUGAGACUGCAUAGCUAGGGUGCGGAAGAGGGAAGCGGAAUUUCCGGUGUAGCGGUGAAAUGCGUAGAUAUCGGAAGGAACACCAGUGGCGAAAGCGGCUUCCUGGUCCAGCACCGACGUUCAGGCACGAAAGCGUGGGGAGCAAACAGG